rnacentral:rRNA from 1 species
CUAUAGAGUAUUCUCGAUAUGCGUAUCAAGCGUGGGGAGAUCUCUCAUAUAGUGUACACGCACGGGGGGGCGAGUUUUCUAGAGAGUCUGACGUAUCACACACAAGUGUAGAGGGGUCAGGGAGGGCGCUCUGGUGACGAGUGGCGAACGGGUGAGUAAUGCAUCGGAACGUGCCCAGUAGUGGGGGAUAGCCGGUCGAAAGCGGGAUUAAUACCGCAUACGCCCUGAGGGGGAAAGUGGGGGACCGCAAGACCUCGCGCAAUUGGAGCGGCCGAUGUCAGAUUAGGUAGUUGGUGAGGUAAAGGCUCACCAAGCCGACGAUCAGUAGCUGGUCUGAGAGGACGAUCAGCCACACUGGGACUGAGACACGGCCCAGACUCCUACGGGAGGCAGCAGUGGGGAAUUUUGGACAAUGGGGGCAACCCUGAUCCAGCCAUGCCGCGUGUGGGAAGAAGGCCUUCGGGUUGUAAACCACUUGGUCAGGGAAGAAA